ACGUGUUGGUAUUGUAGGUUGAAUCACGAGGAGUGCGAGGUGACUUUGGGGUUAGAGUCGAUAAUGUAGCAUCGAUAUCCAGAUUUUGUUGUAGGAGAGGUGUGAGCAAGUUUUGAGGAUGAAACUUCUUUUAAGGAGAGGAUGAUGUGAGGACCGAGCAUUUUUCUAUGUAUGUUUGACAUAUUUUUAAAUGUUAUCGUGUGUAUUUUAAUUUUUAGAUUG
rnacentral:lncRNA from 1 species